AUUAAAUAGACCUCCUGAUUUCGGCUCAGACUCUGAGAAAAUUUCUCCUAUUUA
rnacentral:tRNA from 1 species